CGCAAGAACUUCUCCUUCAGGUAACUGGAUAAUGGGAAGGAGCAGGUUUGCUUCAUCUAAUGAGAAAAUGACCUUUUACCAUUAGUAAAUCAAUCCCAGUUUUCUGCUGAAACUCUUCUGCUUUUUUCAGUUUUGCAUGAAUACUAGUAAUAAGAGAAUACUUUAUAUCCUAUAUUUAGUUUUUCAUGUUCACAGUGCUACUCAUGUUGGGUAAGGGAUCAUGUGCUUUUUGGUCUCUUUUGCACAGUUAAUGGGCCAACAACACAUUCCUAAGGAUAAUUUUGCGGACAGAAACUGGAAAAUUCAUCUUUUAUUUUCUUUUGAGUGUCUUUUUGGUUUUGCCCAGUGUGUUUCUUUUAUGUUUGCUGUACUUCUAAAGAAAAGUUAUAUACAUGUAAAAAUAUUGUGCUGUAUAGUCUGUCUAUCCUAAGUUAAAAUGAGAGAGGCCUUUGCCAUCAUAAAAGCCUGACUGUCAUAACAGUACAAAACUUUAAAGUUUAAACAAGUU